GCCCCGGGGGGGGGGGUGCCUAAUACAUGCAAGUCGAGCGCGUGAAGCAGCCGGAUCCCUUCGGGGUGAAAGCUGUGGAACGAGCGGCGGACGGGUGAGUAACACGUGGGCAACCUGCCUGUAAGACUGGGAUAACCCCGGGAAACCGGGGCUAAUACCGGGUAAUACUUUUCUUCGCAUGAAGAGAAGUUGAAAGGCGGCUUUUCGGAGCUGUCACUUACAGAUGGGCCCGCGGCGCAUUAGCUAGUUGGUAGGGUAAUGGCCUACCAAGGCAACGAUGCGUAGCCGACCUGAGAGGGUGAUCGGCCACACUGGGACUGAGACACGGCCCAGACUCCUACGGGAGGCAGCAGUAGGGAAUCUUCCGCAAUGGACGAAAGUCUGACGGAGCAACGCCGCGUGAACGAUGAAGGUUUUCGGAUCGUAAAGUUCUGUUGUUAGGGAAGAACAAGUACCGUUUGAAUAAGGCGGUACCUUGACGGUACCUAACGAGGAAGCCCCGGCUAACUACGUGCCAGCAGCCGCGGUAAUACGUAGGGGGCGAGCGUUGUCCGGAAUUAUUGGGCGUAAAGCGCGCGCAGGCGGUUCCUUAAGUCUGAUGUGAAAGCCCACGGCUUAACCGUGGAGGGUCAUUGGAAACUGGGGAACUUGAGUACAGAAGAGGAGAGCGGAAUUCCACGUGUAGCGGUGAAAUGCGUAGAUAUGUGGAGGAACACCAGUGGCGAAGGCGGCUCUCUGGUCUGUAACUGACGCUGAGGCGCGAAAGCGUGGGGAGCGAACAGGAUUAGAUACCCUGGUAGUCCACGCCGUAAACGAUGAGUGCUAGGUGUUAGGGGGUUUCCGCCCCUUAGUGCUGAAGUUAACGCAUUAAGCACUCCGCCUGGGGAGUACGGCCGCAAGGCUGAAACUCAAAAGAAUUGACGGGGGCCCGCACAAGCGGUGGAGCAUGUGGUUUAAUUCGAAGCAACGCGAAGACCUUACCAGGUCUUGACAUCCUCUGAUCCCUCUAGAGAUAGAGGUUUCCCUUCGGGGACAGAGUGACAGGUGUGCAUGCUGUCGUCAGCUCGUGUCGUGAGAUGUUGGGUUAAGUCCCGCACGAGCGCACCCUUAACCUUAGUUGCCAGCAUCAG
rnacentral:rRNA from 1 species